UUUGAUACUCUACUUCUGCCCUUUUGCGUAUUCUCUCGUAAGAAAAUUCUCUCUUCAAAAUUCUCCUAUUAAUUUUGUUUUUACUACAGCCCAAAAUCUCUAGCUAAGAGAUUAUGAAGAUUUUCAAGUGGUAGAGAUGCCUCAAUUUGGUGAUUGACAGAUAUAAAGUAGACAACGAAAGUAAGUGUACUUUUUCUCUUUUCUGAAUUAUAAAGCAUGCUUAGCCAUAGAAAUUAGAGUUUGUACUUUUGCACUUUUGUCAAUGUACCGGCAUUCUUAAAAUUCCAAUUGAAUUUGAGUUAAGUUCUGUUUAAAACUUCUCUGCUGCGUAGAACUCUUAUCCCUUCAACCCUCACCUAUGCAAAUCUAAGGAUAAUUUCGUGUGAACAGAAGUUUAUAGUUAGCUUAGGAAUGAGAUUAAGUUACCUAGGUCAUUAGUAAUCGAAAUAGUCAGUUUUAUACGGUUAAUGUUGUUAUAACUUAAAAGUAACUUUCAAUGGUUCUAGUCUUAUGUAAACUCUUUACAUAGGAUGCCCCCACUUCCAUGUCUUCACUUGAACCAUUUAGGAUCACAUCGUUUGUACUAACUACAAAGCGUGUUGCAUCCAUAGUGUCCCCAGAAUAAGACGUCCAAUCUUAUUAAUAUUCUAUAGACUAUGUUUAGGCUAUAUACUCAAACUUGAUGCACGUUUAUGUCCCUACAUAAAGUUCAAGUCUACAUUAGAUAAUCUCGAGACCUUAUUUAAUGGGAUACAAGAUUAUAGUAUUCUAUUUUCACUAAUAAGCUCUAAAAAAUAAUUUUAUUUAAUAAAAUAUAAUUUAAACUACAAACUACGAGUUUAAGGACAUAAAUUUCAACUUUAUGACAACAACUUUAUACUCAAACAUGAUUUGAAUUUUGAAAAAAUGAAUGUGAAUUCAUGUUUGGGAGGUUAGAAUUAGUCAAGAUAGACAAAAUGGUAAAAAGUCAAAAUGUUGACUUUUGACUUAAAAAAAAAAAUCAAAAUUUGACUUUGUUUUGAAUUUUCUAAUGAACAUAUUGCCCUUUGACUAAAUUUUGUGGGAAAAUCGGUCCAACAUUUUGUUGGAUAGUUUACUAACACUUGGUGGAUUAAGUUGCUACAUGGGAUGUGAAAACAUUUGACCCACUAAAUUCCACUAAUGGUUAGUGGAAUUCAUUAUAAGGAAAAGGGAGAUCUCUCGACGAACAAAAUCAUUGAGAGAUGUACAAAAAAAUGUCGAGAAAGGAUCUUUCAACGCAUAAAUGUCCAUCGGGAUCGAGAUCAGGAAAAAGCAUUGGAAGAGGAUCUUCCAACACAAUAUUUACGAGGACAGGAGAUUUGAUUACAACUCCUGACCCCACAAAUACUGCAUUGGAAGAUCUUUUUUUAAAAAAAAAAAUACCUAAUUAGAAUGGACGUACAAGAAGAAAGGUCAUCCUCAAUUAAUACUGCAAAGUUUCUUCUUAACAUCAUUCAAAGUAAGUAAACAAAAUAACUCUAACAAGCUGGUCAAACAAGGAUGAGAACAUAAAGAAGAUAAGUCAUUAGUACUUGGAUCCCUUACCACCUAGGCCAUGUAACCAAACAAGUCAAUAUCUACUUGAUGCUUCUCUUUAGGCCUGACUACAUAGGUCCCUCCCAAACUCAAAGGUCAUCUUACUAGCGAGUGAAAUGAAAUAAUAAUGGAGCGAACUAUAACCAAACCAAGGCUAUUGCAUUGGAAAACUAUAAGCUCAAUAGUUUCUCAUUCAUAGCACUAAGAGUGAAAUGAAAUAACAAAAUAAACAUAUUUCAUUUAAUCCAACGAAAGUCAUAAUUAAGCAUGUCCUCAUUCCAAAAUUUUAGGAUAUGCAAAAAUCAAUCUCAAUAAAUCUCAAUGCCAAUAAAUCUAAUUUGGCACACCAGUCUUAGAAGUGUUCACAAAAAAAAUUAAAAGAAAAAAGUCUCGCAUAAGCUAGAGCUAUUUUCAACGUUUUCAAAGCUAUCAUUAGACUUGUGAUUUCCUAAUUUAGCUUUCUUUUACUAAACAUAUAUACCUACUGAAAUUAAAUAAUUACCCAAGUGAUGAUCAAGAUGGUGAACUAAUCGGAUACACUUAGAAAGCAAUAAUUUAUAAUGACCACCCUAUGUCAAAGAAAGCAAUCAACAACAAAUUAAAGUAAAUAAAGCUAUAUCUUCUCUAACCUGCCAGCGAACAAAUGCAUACAAGAAAAUCAUGAUAUAUAAUUUUUGUUGUUGGACGGAUAUUGUGUAAAUCUAUCAAGGAUGGACCUCUUCUAACUCCAUAAGAAUGAGGCCACAAAUACUCCCCUGGAUAACAAAUGGAAAGAUGAAGGAAAAAUAACUCCUCAUCUCUAAAUAUUGUUGGUUAGUUUGCGUUGAUAUACCACAUACUGAAUUUUCUAUCUUCAACAAUAAAGUAUGUAACAGUCAUACAUUCAUCUUUGUACUCAAAUUGUGAAACCCAGAUUUUCUAAGACCAUGGGAACUUGUCAAUUUUUGGCAAGGACUACUCAAAUUGUGAAACCCAUAUUUUCUAAGACCAUUGGAACUUGUUAAUUUUUGGCAAGGACAAUAAAAAAUAAAAUUUAUAGGGUAAGAAGGUAAAAAUCCUUGAAAGGAUUAAGAAAUUGAGGUUUAGGUUUAAGAGAAAGAGAAAAGUUGGAAAAGAUUUGGCUAAGUGUUAAAGAAAGAACCUUUAGGCGUUUAGAGGUUAUAAUGGUGAUACAUUGGAUGACCAAUGAAAAUGAAAUAACCUCUAAAGAGGCUAGUAUGUGUUUAAGACUAAGCAACCAAGGCAUGUGCAUUAGGCAUUUGAAAGUUAUAAAGCUUGUUGUUAUACUUAGGCGAAAAGAAGCUCUAACGAAUUGUCACUAGUAGAGGAAGGUUGUCAUUUAGAGGUUUUGUGGGCAUUUGAGAGGUUAGGUGGCAAGGACAAUGUGGUUAGCAUGGCAUGCAAGAAGAGCUCGGAGGUUAGCAAGGCAAUGUCACUAGGCGUUUUGGAUUUUUCUUUGGACAUUAGGUGUUUUGGUUAGGUUAUCAAGGCUUUGUGAGAGAGCUUUAGAGGUUAGCUAUGCAAGAAGACCUUGGAGGUUAACUUGGUGUUUUAGGACAAUAAUGUGACUUGAUUAGGGCAUUUGGUUUAAAGAAUAAUCCAAAUGUCUUAACUAUAGGAACAUGCAUUAUGAUUUGGAGAAGAAGUUUGAGGUGUAAUUAGGAGCUUAAGUUGUAAGUCUAAUCAAGGUUGAAGUGUCAACAUAUUUUUAUACAAGAAUUUCUAUAAAUAAACAACUUCAAGAAAGAGUUUCUCACAACAGAAUAGUGAAAUCUUACUCAAAUUAGUCUUAAAAGCUAAAAAAUUAUGUUUAGUUUGUUGAGAACUGAUGUUGUUCAAGUUGAAUGUGAAAAGGUUUGUGUUUGGAUCAAGAUUAGGCGAGAAGGUCAUCAUGCAAAGAAAACUGAGCAAGGUGCAUUCAAAGUGAGCUACAAAACUUAUCUUUUGAAGUUUAUUAUGAUAUUUUGAGGUCAGAAACUUAAGACAUUUUAUGGUUUAUAAGUCAUCAGGAAGGGUAUAUAUAUUCAUGCCUUAAAGGAGGUGUAUAACUUCCCAACGACUAUUCAGUCUUUGGACGAAUGGGUAAAUAACGUCUGUGGCUAUGGAACAUUGUCUUCAAAAAGCUAUGCAAAUGUUUCAAGUAUCAUGUUAUGAAAUGACUAUUUAUUGAUAAGUGUAUUUAGAGCUUCGGUUUUAAAUUAAAUUGUUUAUGAAAACCUGUUUUCUAAAACCGUUGCUCACUAAGUCUUUUGAUUUACUCUUUCAAAAUGUUUUUCCACUUUCCAAGUAUAGACUUUGACUCUUCGCCUGCUGAACCUACUGUUGCCAGGCUAAUCAAAAUUUCAGUCAUGGAAAGAAUACGAUUUUAAAAGUAUUACUGUGUUUUAUGAAAAGUUUAUAUUUUCAUGUUUUAUACAUUUAUGAAAGGCAUUUCAAAUGGGCUACACUGCGUUCUUUUAAAAAAAUGUUUCAAAGUUUUUAAGACUUUCGCUGUUAAAUAUUUUAUGUUUUCAAGUAAGAAUCAAUUGGAGUUGUUUCGAAGGAGAACAACUUCAUCAACUGACAUCAAACAACAUCUCGGACCAAGCAAGCAGGUGCUCAGGAUGGGGUAUGACACAAAUUGCUAAAAAAGUAAUUAAAAUGAAAGCUAAUGAAAAGGAUAAAAAAAAAAUCUCUAAUAUAAUUAAGGUUAUGCAAAGGUAAAAUAAUAGUUCAAAUUUAUUUUGCUUAUUAAGAAAAAGUGUAAGCAUAUUUUAAUAUAAAGUAACCAAAAGUGUAAGCAUAUUUUAAUAUAAAGUAACCAUUGAAAUCCACCUGAUUUGAGAGCAAAUUGGUUUGAUCUGGAAGGUACUGGAUUGGACUAGCAAACUAAUAGUUAGCUAAAUUCUAGUGUUCAGUGUUAUAAACUUUAUCGAUGUAAAAGAAAAAAAAGUUGACCUUGUAUAGACGACGUUUAUAACUUACAUUUUAAAAAACCAAGAGAAAAGCAAGUAAAGCCACACGAGAAGGAAAAAUAAGAGCUUUACUUGUAACACAUGCUUCUUUUCCCAUAUCUAUCAAAUGAUGGUUAGUAAAAAAAAUGUGUUUCUUCUUCAGGUGGCAAGGCGGUGAGACAGAGGCACUCUUGUUCUCGUUCCUGGUGACAAGGCGUUCUUGUUCAGCAAACCAAGUGUGGAGGACAUCUCUCAAAUCCUUGGCGGUAGAAGAGAAUUUCGAAAAGAAGAUUAGGAUUUAUAAAAGAAGAUUGAAAGGAAGAAGAGCAAAAGAAGAUUAGGGUUUAUAAGACCCAAUGUCUCUAAAAUCCCUGGUGGCGGAGCAACGCGGUGACGUAGUGGUCAGAUCCCCUUUUCACAGUGUCUCUCAAAUCCCUGGCGGUAACUUUUGGAUCCCUUAUUCACAGAGAUAUGUGAAAGUACACAUAUGGGAUUUAGAAGGAUACCUACUAACACUUCCCUAUACCCGUCAGGAGUUUUCCAUAAAUGUCGACGCAUUAUCGUCGGUAUUGGCAUUUCUCCCAAGAACUCCCAAUGCAUUACUAGUGCAUCUAUAGUUGUUCCUAUCACUCGACGCCCACACAACCCACAGUCAGGAGAUCUUAUAUCACCCGACGCUUCAACUUCGGUGUCUGGAGAUGUCCUAUUCUCUCGACGACGUUUCUCUCGAAGAUGUAAAGCUGCAUCGAGAGAGUCAUAAUUUCUUGUACUAAAUGUGAGAGUAUUGGAUUUAGGUGAAUUUACACAUUGAAUAGUUGCAUGUCUUUUGUUUAUUUAAAGGCUCGUUGUUCAACUUUGGAAAACUUUUUGAAUACUUUUAAUUUUUGACAUUAAAAAAAAAGUGGAAAAUUCAACUAAAUU
rnacentral:lncRNA from 1 species